rnacentral:lncRNA from 1 species
CUUCAGAAAAGACUUGGAGGGUUUUUAUAUGUGAAAUGUGAAAAUCCUGAUUGUGAAUACAUUAACCGUGCUGCCUACGGAAAGACAUACCACCAGACAGCUGAACGUCGAGGCAUGCCUUACUUUGCAGUAAACACCAAACUUGGAACUGCAAUGAUCGAUAGUCUGGGUGGGCCAAGACGUGUAAAUAACAUGUUAGCUACACUAAAUCUAAAGACGGUGUCAGAUGCAAACUUGAAAAAGAUGGAGAUUCGGGCAGGAAAUGUUGUGGAGAAAGUUUCCGCUGAGUCAUCACGAGCCGUAGCUGAGGAGGCAUUUAAGAAUGAAAUGGAGACCAUUGCACAUGCAGAGUCUUAAGAUGCACAAGUUGGUAUGAGUGGUUUGAUAGAAGACUUGGGCGUUUGUCCACUACCAGAUUCAUCUCCUGUAUCACAGUUGAGGCUUCAUGAUGAUGAACUAGAUUGGACUGGUACUGGGAGUGAUGAUGAGAAUAGCUAUAUUGAACAUGUUGAACAGAAUGUUCCAGAAACUGCCUCUUUACCAGAUAACAGUUGCAGGAAUUGGUCACGGCGACAAUGUAGAUGUGGAACAGAUUCCAGAUUCCAUUCCAAGGGGUAAUUUUAAACCUGUCCAGUUACCAGGACCCCCAACUGUUAUAUCUUUUGACUUGGAAACAACAGGCCUGAUUAAAGACGGAGUGAUUCCGAAAAUUACACAGAUUGC